AUAAUACUGACCCGUGAUUCAGCGGUGCGACUCAACUCGCAGUUUGCCCAUUCUCUUAUUUCCUAUACAUGUAGAUGUCCGUGGUGCUAAGUGUCAGCGUGUGCUCUCCGCACUGAGAGAAGGUGGCAAUGAAGACUGUGGCUGCGAAUGGAGAGUACUGAAAGCACCGUUUUGGGCAGUGCAGUAGAAUGCCUUCUCACUAGACCAGGUCUAGUUCAGUCACCAUCACGGUAGCCAUGACGACAAUGCAAGCAACCCUGGGUAAAACCGAGAAUAUCGCGACUCCGGGCCAACACAAUAGGGCUUGGAAGUGAUUACAUCAAAACGGCCAGGGAGUAGUAAGUUCAUGUCAGAUUUCUACUUUUGGAUCCACUACAGUUUGACUUUGCUAUUGCCUCAGUAUGUGGGUGCAUAGCAACCCACUCAUGUCGUAUGCAGGUGUGACUUUUCUUCACCACUAGUUGUCACCCCAUCCCCAUUAGCCAACCUAGUCAAUUUCACCGGCCUUGCUGUGAGCAAAGCCGUUUGAAAUGUGCUUGGAUCCAGAUCCAGUUUUUGAAUUUUUGAAAUUGUUGCUAUUCUGUUACGUAGCACUUUCAAGCCCUA